rnacentral:rRNA from 1 species
AACGAACGCUGGCGGCAUGCCUAACACAUGCAAGUCGAACGAAGCCUUCGGGCUUAGUGGCGCACGGGUGCGUAACGCGUGGGAAUCUGCCCUUUGGUUCGGAAUAACAGUUGGAAACGACUGCUAAUACCGGAUGAUGACGAAAGUCCAAAGAUUUAUCGCCAGAGGAUGAGCCCGCGUAGGAUUAGCUAGUUGGUGUGGUAAAGGCGCACCAAGGCGACGAUCCUUAGCUGGUCUGAGAGGAUGAUCAGCCACACUGGGACUGAGACACGGCCCAGAAUCCUACGGGAGGCAGCAGUGGGGAAUAUUGGAAAAUGGGCGAAAGCCUGAUCCAGAAAUGCCGCGUGAGUGAUGAAGGCCCUGGGGUUGUAAAGCUCUUUUACCCGGGAUGAUAAUGACAGUACCGGGAGAAUAAGCCCCGGCUAACUCCGUGCCAGCCGCCGCCGUAA